rnacentral:rRNA from 1 species
GGCGAACGGGUGAGUAAUGCAUCGGAACGUGCCCAACUGUGGGGGAUAGCUCGGCGAAAGCCGGAUUAAUACCGCAUACGAUCCACGGAUGAAAGCGGGGGACCUUCGGGCCUCGCGCAGUUGGAGCGGCCGAUGUUAGAUUAGGUAGUUGGUGGGGUAAAGGCUCACCAAGCCAACGAUCUAUAGCUGGUCUGAGAGGACGACCAGCCACACUGGGACUGAGACACGGCCCAGACUCCUACGGGAGGCAGCAGUGGGGAAUUUUGGACAAUGGGCGCAAGCCUGAUCCAGCAAUACCGCGUGCAGGAAGAAGGCCUUCGGGUUGUAAACUGCUUUUGUACGGAACGAAAAGGUCUGGGUUAAUACCCUGGGCCCAUGACGGUACCGUAAGAAUAAGCACCGGCUAACUACGUGCCAGCAGCCGCGGUAAUACGUAGGGUGCAAGCGUUAAUCGGAAUUACUGGGCGUAAAGCGUGC